rfam:Neonectria ditissima strain R09/05 contig_54, whole genome shotgun sequence.
ACAUACGACCAUAGCUCUUAGAAAACACGGGAUCCCGUCCGCUCUCCCCUAGUUAAACUGAGAAGCGGCAGAUUAGUACUCGGGUCGGUGACGACCGGGGAAUCCCUGCUGUUGUAUGUU